rnacentral:rRNA from 1 species
CCCUUAGAUGUUCUGGGCCGCACGCGCGCUACACUGACAGAGCCAACGAGUUCUUUGCCUUGGCCGGAAGGUCUGGGUAAUCUUGUUAAACUCUGUCGUGCUGGGGAUAGAGCAUUGCAAUUAUUGCUCUUCAACGAGGAAUGCCUAGUAAGCGCGUGUCAUCAGCAUGCGUUGAUUACGUCCCUGCCCUUUGUACACACCGCCCGUCGCUACUACCGAUUGAAUGGCUCAGUGAGGCCUUCGGACUGGCUCGGGGAGGUUGGCAACGACCACCCCAAGCCGGAAAGUUCGUCAAACUCGGUCAUGUAGAGGAAGUAAAAGUCGUAACA